AGGGGAUGAGUUUAUUAUCCUUGGUCAAUCAUGGUACAUUAUAAAAAUAAAACUAUUAUCCCAACAAAAUAGCCUUGCCAAAGAAUUUGGAAAGUCAAAUUUGAAACAAGAAAAGAAAUUGCAACAUUUACAGGGGAGAAAAGAGCAGGAGACGGCACAAAGGGAUGAAAGGGUGAAAAGAUUACGCUGUGGUUAUAAAAGUUAGAGAUCAUAGUAAAGAUUGAUCCAAUGGUC
rnacentral:lncRNA from 1 species